rnacentral:misc_RNA from 1 species
GGUUAACAAUCAACUUAACCCCCAAAAAUUAGCUCACAAAAGAAUGAGUGUUAGAGUUGGUUAAACCUGGUUGGAUAUCAGUAAAUUCUGUUCGUGUAUUUGAUCCACAUUCAUAGUUGAAAGGCACUAAUUUGAUAUUUAAGUUUACAAAUAUUUCUAUAAGAAGAAUUUCAUAUCUUCAUGUAUUCAGGCAUUUAAGUACUUGAAUCUCAUGCAAAAAUCU